AGAGCACUCUCCACAGAACCUUCUCCAGGCGUGCUCUGGCCGGAUGAGGUGCUCUGGAGAGUGGACU
ensembl:miRNA